GAUGAAGAACGUAGCGAAAUGCGAUAAGUAAUGUGAAUUGCAGAAUUCAGUGAAUCAUCGAAUCUUUGAACGCACCUUGCGCUCCUUGGUAUUCCAAGGAGCAUGCCUGUUUGAGUAUCAUUAAAUUAUCAACUGUGCCAAUUUGGUUACAGAUUGGAUGUGGGAGAUUCUUUUUGCAGGCCUUUGACUUCUCUUUGAGAAAAAAAAAUAAAAGGUCGGCUCUCCUGAAAUGUAUUAGCAGUGCCUUUGUUGGUUCAUUAGGUGUGAUAAAUUGUCUACAUCUUCGCAUGAUACCUUCAUUUGUAAAGGUCAUAUUGCUUCUAAAUUGUCUUUGAUUGGACGCAAAACAUAUAUAAUGUUUGACAAACUUGAUCUCAAAUCAGGCAGGACUACCCGCUGAACUUAAGCAUAUCAAUAAGCGGAGGA
rnacentral:misc_RNA from 1 species